rnacentral:tRNA from 2 species
UUGUAGCUACCGGGGUCUUGAGUGAGAAGAAUUUUCCGAUAGUUAUCAGUAAUUUCAAGAAAGGGUGCAAUUUCCCUGUUAUAAG